ACACACACACACACACACAGAGCACUGGUGGAAACAGGGGAGCUGCAGCGCGCGGCUCGGGGACCCGCCGGAAGCAGCAGCAGCAGCAGCGGGAGCUGUGGACGCAGCCCCGGUAUCACACCGAGAGCACGAGCGACACUGAGGCGGCCAGAGGGGCGGAGAGGAGGAGGAGGAGGAGGAGGCACCUGCACCGAGACUCGCUCUCCGCCGCUGCCUCCAUCGUCAGCUCCCGUCACCCCUCGUUCGUUCCUCUCGGGCCGCCGCCGCUUCCUCGUUAAAGAUGGCUGACCCCAACAGCGACGGAGAGGCACCGGAGAGCGCGCGCGGCUUCGCCCGCCAGGGAGCCCUCCGACAGAAGAACGUGCACGAGGUGAAGAACCACAAGUUCAUCGCGCGCUUCUUCAAGCAGCCCACGUUCUGCAGCCACUGCACGGACUUCAUCUGGGGCUUUGGGAAACAGGGAUUCCAGUGCCAAGUGUGCUGUUUUGUAGUCCAUAAGCGCUGUCAUGAGUUUGUCACCUUUUCUUGUCCGGGGGCCGACAAGGGACCAGCGUCGGACGAUCCUCGGAGUAAACACAAGUUUAAGGUCCACACUUACUCCAGCCCCACCUUCUGCGACCACUGUGGCUCCCUCCUGUAUGGGCUGAUACACCAGGGCAUGAAAUGUGACCACUGUAUGAUGAACAUCCACAAGCGGUGUGUGACCAACGUUCCGAGCUUGUGCGGGACAGAUCACACCGAGAGGAGAGGACGCAUCCACAUCUCUGCCCAGAUCACUGAGGACAAACUUACCGUCAGCAUCAAAGAAGCUAGGAACCUGGUGCCCAUGGACCCUAACGGCCUGUCAGACCCUUACGUCAAACUCAAACUGAUCCCAGACCCCAAGAGCGAGAGCAAGCAGAAGACCAAGACCAUCAAAUGUUGCCUCAACCCAACCUGGAACGAGACCUUCACUUUCAACCUAAAAGAAAGUGACAAGGACCGCCGUCUGUCGGUGGAGAUCUGGGACUGGGAUUUGACCAGUAGGAAUGACUUCAUGGGAUCCCUGUCCUUUGGGAUAUCAGAACUACAAAAACAAGGGAUCGAUGGAUGGUUUAAGCUGCUGUCCCAGGAGGAAGGAGAAUACUUUAAUGUUCCUGUUCAGCCGGAUGGAGAGGACGGCAACGAGGAGCUUCGACAAAAGUUUGAGAGAGCAAGGGUGGGUCCAGGGAAGCCCACAGACUCGUCCUCCUCCUCCUCGAUGUACAAGUACGACAGCAAUGGCAAUCAGGACCGUGUCAAGCUCUCAGACUUCAAUUUCAUCAUGGUUCUGGGAAAAGGCAGCUUCGGCAAGGUGAUGCUGGCUGAAAGGAAGGGUACGGACGAGUUGUACGCCAUCAAGAUCCUGAAGAAGGAUGUGGUGAUCCAGGAUGACGAUGUGGAGUGCACCAUGGUGGAGAAGAGAGUCCUCGCUCUGGCGGGGAAACCACCUUUCCUCACUCAGCUGCACUCUUGUUUCCAGACCAUGGACCGACUGUAUUUUGUGAUGGAGUAUAUAAAUGGAGGAGACCUCAUGUACCAGAUCCAACAGGUCGGCAAGUUCAAGGAGCCUCAUGCUGUGUUUUAUGCUGCAGAAAUCGCCAUCGGACUCUUCUUCCUUCACUCCAAAGGCAUCGUGUAUCGGGAUCUGAAGCUGGACAACGUGAUGCUGGACUCAGAGGGACAUAUCAAGAUCGCCGACUUUGGCAUGUGCAAAGAGAACAUGUUGGACGGAGUGACCACGAAGACUUUCUGUGGAACACCAGACUACAUUGCUCCAGAGAUCAUAGCCUAUCAGCCUUAUGGGAAGUCUGUGGACUGGUGGGCCUUCGGAGUGCUGCUGUAUGAAAUGCUCGCUGGACAGCCGCCUUUUGACGGGGAGGAUGAGGAUGAGUUGUUUCAAUCGAUCAUGGAGCAUCACGUCUCAUACCCCAAAUCCAUGUCCAAAGAAGCUGUUGCCAUCUGCAAGGGGUUUCUGUGUGUGAUUCUAGCUGAUGACCAAACACCCAGGUAAGCGUCUGGGCUGCGGUCCAGAGGGCGAGAGAGACAUCAAGGAGCACGCCUUCUUCCGUUAUAUAGACUGGGAAAAACUGGAGAAUAAAGAGGUCCAGCCGCCUUUCAAACCUAAAGCUUGUGGGCGUGACGCAGAGAACUUUGAUCGCUUUUUCACGCGCCACCCCCCAGAGCUGACCCCCCCAGAUCAGGAGCUUAUAGCCAACCUGGACCAGGAAGAAUUCCAAGGCUUCUCAUUUGUUAACCCUGAGUACCCUCACUCAACCCAGUGACCAUGCCACAUCUCUCUGAGCUGCACUAGUAAUCCCCUACACCUCAGAAACAUACACAACAAAUAGAGUAAAUGUGAAAACAAAUCUGCAUAAAUCCAUACGCAGGCUGCGUUCAGCAGGGUGAAACCUUGAAGACAUAGUUUGGCAUUUGUGAACUACACUUUAUUGCUGUCUUUGCCGAAGUGAGUAGGUUGAUAUCAGUCUCACUUUGGAGCGUUAAGUUUGGAGCUAGAGUCUGGGAGCGGUUAUCAUGGUUUUGCAUAACAGGAACAGGCACAGGAAAACUUCACACUCCAAAAUAUGCUUACUAGUUUGCGUGUCUCGUUUGUUCGUCCAUCCAUCAUCUACGACUCUUAUCCUUUGGGGUUUGCAGUGGGCGCUGGACCCGAUCCCACCUGACACUGGGCGAGAUGUGGGGCUCCACCCUGAACAGUUUGCCAGUGAUCCACAGGGCUAAACUAUAAUUCACAACUACAUUUACACAUAUGGACAAUUUAGAGUCUCAUAUUAACCUAACCCCAACUCUGCGUAUCUUUAGACGGUGGGAGAAACAUUUAUGGGGGUUUGAUUGGUGUUCCUCGAAUUCCAUUGUUUUGCUGCGCCCUCUUCUUCUGUGGUAGUUUAAUGGCACUGAACUUAAAAUGAGCACCAAAACAUUUUUAUCUUGACGAGCCAACUUCCAUUUGUUCAAUAGUGGUGGAUGCUAGUCAGCUUUUACUGUCGCUAAUCAAAAUUAGCUCUGCAUUUGGAUUGCUGUAGUCGUUUCUAUAUUUGUCCCUGUGCAGAAUUUACACAUAUGAGAUAAAACAUCUUGAUUAGUAAACUCUACUUUUGACAGCCGUAUUUUAACAGAGAACCAAGUUUGCUGUUUUUCUUGGCUUUAAAUCUUUAUGCAAACCUCGGUUAACCCUCCUGACUUCAGCUCUUUACAGACGUAAAAGUGUUAUUGAUACUGUCAUCUAAAUCUAAGAAAGAAAUCAAAUCAUUCCUCCAAAAUGCCAAACUAUUCAUUAAACCAUGUUGGGAUGGAAAUGCAGACAGGUGCUCAAUGCAAACAAUCAGGAGAAAUGAUCAUGUGUGAAGUUGCCAGUAGGAGACCAGUCUUGUUUUGGUUGGUUAAACAUGUCGUCAUGUUACACUGCUGCUCUCAUAUCAGCUCUGGCUGCGCAUCUGUCUCUAGUGCAGAAGUGUUGCUCGCCCCGGCUGCUCAGACCGGCAGGUUCAGGUCGGAGUCCGACAUCGGGGCUGACCUGAACCUGCCCCGUCUCUCCGUAACUGCACAUCAACACCGACAACCUAUCAGUAACAUUGACGAGUGUACUAUGACCACAUAUUGGUAAUAUUCCUACAGUGUAAGUGAAAACUGACCAGUUGCUUUGUCUAAGAUCGUUUGAGAAUCAGUGUCCUAACGUCUACUUUAUUUUUGUCUUUUGGACCAAAUCUUCACUCUUCGAUCCGUCAGUGUUGUGGUGAGCUUAUCUCGAAAUUCUUGCUGAUUUCAUUUUAAACCAGUCGAAAGGAUCUAAGUCUUUCUACGCACAAGAGUGCAAGUAUGCGUCGAGUUAGAGAGUCAUUACUUUUCUACUGAUCCAUUACUGAAAACAUUCACCACAUUACACUGUGUUUUUAAUGACAGACGACAUAUCUCUCAGCUUGUAAACCACUAUUUUUUGGAGAAUUUCACAUAUGACGAAGCUCCGUAGGGACGUGUAGAGCUGAUAUAGAUAUAGAAACAGGAUGUCCAAAAGUGCCAAAAGAUAGAAAAGGUAAUGUGGUGGUGGUGUGGGAAUUUCUUUUUGUCCUCUACAACUGUGAUGAAGGGCAGCCAUCUUGUGCCAUUUUGCAGUACAUGUAUAAUUAUUAGAAUAUUAGAAUAUGCAUUAUAGCUGUAUGUGUUUUCUCAAACAAUACAAUACCCUUGGAGAAUCAUUUUCAUAUAUGAAAUGAAUUGUCUGAGAAGAUGAGUAUUUUAUUGUGAGUCAGGUUGUAUUUUCUUUUUUUGUAACUGUGAAAUGAUGCAAGGUAGUAAUGUGUCAAAUCUUGUUGUUUGAGCUCGUAUCAAAAAGGGAGGUGGUAGCAUGUGGAUAUCCAAGAUUACUGUUGUAUAAAGACGGUUCUGCCAGACGAAAGAAGUGAGCGCUUAUUUUGAUGAUGAUGAAUGAACGAUGGCAAAACGAGAGAUAACAGAAUAAAAAUAUUUACUGUGUUCUAUAUCGAAGGGAGAUUUGGAUCAAUUGUUCUGGAUGAGAGAGAUGCUUUUGUGGAUUGUGUAAUUGUCCUGUAUGACUGAAACUGAUAAUAUACUCACUGGUGCCUACCAGACUACA